CAGUCAUGCCGGCGGGAAUCAACUUAGGGGAAACUCUGAGUGCACUUCUUUGCUUGGCAGGUUAGCGUCGAUUUUGGAUGUCAUAAAAUGACUGGGGGAAGGUAGCUCUUUCGGGAGUGUUAAGCCCUUGGUAGAUGUGAUGUCUGGGAUCGAGGAUUGCAACGGAUACCUUUUGGGCUAGCCGCCUAGUCUCUAAUACGAAGUUGGGUUAUGGACAGCACGCUGACUGUGAUCUGAUUUUCGGUUAAAAGAUUAGAGCGAGUGUAAA
rnacentral:rRNA from 1 species